GAUGAACGCUGGCGGCGUGCCUAAUACAUGCAAGUCGAGCGAACGGACGAGAAGCUUGCUUCUCUGAUGUUAGCGGCGGACGGGUGAGUAACACGUGGAUAACCUACCUAUAAGACUGGGAUAACUUCGGGAAACCGGAGCUAAUACCGGAUAAUAUUUUGAACCGCAUGGUUCAAAAGUGAAAGACGGUCUUGCUGUCACUUAUAGAUGGAUCCGCGCUGCAUUAGCUAGUUGGUAAGGUAACGGCUUACCAAGGCAACGAUGCAUAGCCGACCUGAGAGGGUGAUCGGCCACACUGGAACUGAUACACGGUCCAGACUCCUACGGGAGGCAGCAGUAGGGAAUCUUCCGCAAUGGGCGAAAGCCUGACGGAGCAACGCCGCGUGAGUGAUGAAGGUCUUCGGAUCGUAAAACUCUGUUAUUAGGGAAGAACAUAUGUGUAAGUAACUGUGCACAUCUUGACGGUACCUAAUCAGAAAGCCACGGCUAACUACGUGCCAGCAGCCGCGGUAAUACGUAGGUGGCAAGCGUUAUCCGGAAUUAUUGGGCGUAAAGCGCGCGUAGGCGGUUUUUUAAGUCUGAUGUGAAAGCCCACGGCUCAACCGUGGAGGGUCAUUGGAAACUGGAAAACUUGAGUGCAGAAGAGGAAAGUGGAAUUCCAUGUGUAGCGGUGAAAUGCGCAGAGAUAUGGAGGAACACCAGUGGCGAAGGCGACUUUCUGGUCUGUAACUGACGCUGAUGUGCGAAAGCGUGGGGAUCAAACAGGAUUAGAUACCCUGGUAGUCCACGCCGUAAACGAUGAGUGCUAAGUGUUAGGGGGUUUCCGCCCCUUAGUGCUGCAGCUAACGCAUUAAGCACUCCGCCUGGGGAGUACGACCGCAAGGUUGAAACUCAAAGGAAUUGACGGGGACCCGCACAAGCGGUGGAGCAUGUGGUUUAAUUCGAAGCAACGCGAAGAACCUUACCAAAUCUUGACAUCCUUUGACAACUCUAGAGAUAGAGCUUUCCCCUUCGGGGGACAAAGUGACAGGUGGUGCAUGGUUGUCGUCAGCUCGUGUCGUGAGAUGUUGGGUUAAGUCCCGCAACGAGCGCAACCCUUAAGCUUAGUUGCCAUCAUUAAGUUGGGCACUCUAAGUUGACUGCCGGUGACAAACCGGAGGAAGGUGGGGAUGACGUCAAAUCAUCAUGCCCCUUAUGAUUUGGGCUACACACGUGCUACAAUGGACAAUACAAAGGGCAGCGAAACCGCGAGGUCAAGCAAAUCCCAUAAAGUUGUUCUCAGUUCGGAUUGUAGUCUGCAACUCGACUACAUGAAGCUGGAAUCGCUAGUAAUCGUAGAUCAGCAUGCUACGGUGAAUACGUUCCCGGGUCU
rnacentral:rRNA from 1 species